rnacentral:rRNA from 1 species
GUGGGGAAUCUUGCGCAAUGGGCGAAAGCCUGACGCAGCCAUGCCGCGUGAAUGAUGAAGGUCUUAGGAUUGUAAAAUUCUUUCACCGGGGACGAUAAUGACGGUACCCGGAGAAGAAGCCCCGGCUAACUUCGUGCCAGCAGCCGCGGUAAUACGAAGGGGGCUAGCGUUGCUCGGAAUUACUGGGCGUAAAGGGCGCGUAGGCGGACAGUUUAGUCAGAGGUGAAAGCCCAGGGCUCAACCUUGGAAUUGCCUUUGAUACUGGCUGUCUUGAGUACGGGAGAGGUGAGGGGAACUCCGAGUGUAGAGGUGAAAUUCGUAGAUAUUCGGAAGAACACCAGUGGCGAAGGCGACUCACUGGCCCGUUACUGACGCUGAGGCGCGAAAGCGUGGGGAGCAAACAGGAUUAGAAACCCUUGUAGUCC